ACACGCAUGGUGAAGCGGUUAUCAUGCUUGUCAGCGCGAUUCCCGCUACACCACGAAGCAAGCGGCAGGGGCUCGACUCCCCUUGCGUGUA